UACGAAGGGGGCUAGCGUUGCUCGGAAUUACUAGGCGUAAAGCGCACGUAGGCGGCUCUUUAAGUCGGAGGUGAAAUCCUGGAGCUCAACUCCAGAACUGCCUUCGAUACUGAAGAGCUCGAGUCCGGGAGAGGUGAGUGGAACUGCGAGUGUAGAGGUGAAAUUCGUAGAUAUUCGCAAGAACACCAGUGGCGAAGGCGGCUCACUGGCCCGGUACUGACGCUGAGGUGCGAAAGCGUGGGGAGCAAACAGG
rnacentral:rRNA from 1 species